ensembl:lncRNA
CAGAGAUUUAAAAGAUAUUUUUUAAUAGUGCACUGAAGUAUGAAAACAAGAGUUGCAAAAUAAGACUAUUCAAGAGCUUAGGUUGGUAUAAGGAAGGUUAGCCUUCAUUUAGGUUGUAUAACAUCCUUAGCAUCAAAGACACCUUAAAGACAGAAAAUGCUCAGACAGUAAAGACAAAACAAAGAACCUGAGAAAGAAAAUCAGCACAUCCAUGACUCCACGAGCACCAUAAUAAAAGACAGAAAUAAUCAACACUUUUCAGGAACCAUCAACUCUCAGUGUUCAAACCUGAAGUCGUGGCUGAAAGGUGGGACUGACUGAUUGGCAAAAGACACAGAAAGUGCAAUAAUUUUUCUGUCACUUAAAGUGCUCAACUCGUUAAUUCACCCUCACAGAACGGCUAUUACCUCCUCCACUCGAAAUGCUCAGUCAAAGCCGAGUGCAGGAAAAAAACACCAUGAAGAUGCACAUAUUUAAAAGGAUGAGGGGAACAACAUCAGCAGCUCACCUCCAUCUGUAGUGCUGACAUGACCAACACUGAAGCUGAUGACAGAACAACAAGGCUUCUUCUCGUCACAUAAAAUCACAAGCACAGUAAAUAUUUCUUCUUUACUUAAGACGUAAAAUAAAAUCACACACAGUCCAGUUCAGGCGGUGAAAUCUCAGCGAGUUUUGGCUGCAGAGCGAAAGCUUCCUGUGGCGGCAGUCGUUCCAGAAGACACGGAUAUAAAAUAUGAAUCUUUAGUGGUCAUUUGAAGGUCAAAAAUAAAACUGUUCCAUGUUCAUGUUUCACUGUGUACACUAUUUACAAACCUUUUUAACAAAGGAAACUGCAGACGACUGUUUUUAUUGCACGAAGGCGAUCAUAAAGUUCGGCGACUCCAGUCUGGUUUGAUUUCGGUUGAUCUCCCCUUCAAGGUCAUUUCCUCAGGAAACACUGGACUUCUUUUAACACAGCUAAAAUCCCAGAACACUCCUUUAAAAUCCAACUCUGACUGCAUAUUUUCACUUCUUUGUGUCCAUUAGUGUGCCUGCGUGUUCCAGGGUGCCAAACCUGGACAGUAGGUGGCACUGCGAGAGAAGAUUGUGCUCUGAAAUAACCUGAGUGUCACUGUGAACACCUCCAGCUUCCAAAAAAAAAAAAAAAAAAAACUCCAACAGAAGAACUUGGAGCUGAAGAAAAAUAAGUAAAGACAAAAGUGCCAAAUGCUGCAGUUCCUUCAUUGUCCACUGGAGGCUUUCUCCAGCAGUGAGUGAGUCCUCAUAGACUCCCAUGCAGCAGAAAUAAGCACGAUUACAGCCUGCUACAAAAACAGUUUUGGUCACUAUGUGACUGCUGAGAUUUAAAAUUGGGCUGUGGCAGCUCGACUGUCUGCCAAGCUUCACCUCAGGUCACUGGAGGCCCUGGACUCAACCUCCAAACCUUUCUUGUGCUGUUUGAGGCUUCUGGAGCAUUUUUAAUGCAGUUAUCUCACUAAUUAUAAGGCUUUCUGAGAGUUGCAGUCUGUCCAAGAAGUUAAUGCUUCAGUUUUGUUGAGUGAAGUUCUAGUAUAACCGAGAAAGCUUUGGCUUUCAAUUCCUCCAGUUUUUCCGCAGCGUGUUUCAGAAGACUCAGAUAAGUUCCUGUUCUGUACUGCUCAAAGUCACGGCGAGCUUAUGAGGAGGGAAGGAAGUCAGACACAAGAACAGGUUGAAUUUAAAAAUAAAAGACUCUGUAGAGGUUAAACGCUCCCAGUGUGACUUGAAGCCGUGCAAAGGACGGAAGAAAACCGUGUCAUGGACACGUAUCCGACAGAUUCCUUGGUUAAGGCUUCAAAAUGGGUGACAUCACAGUGGCUACGUUGAUGAAUUCCUUGUGUGCAACCCUGUAGAUGCAACUCCGUGCCCUACCUGGGACAAUGUGAUCUAACAACGCUGUAAUUGUCCCAAAAUCAGAUGCAAACAAUCAAAACAGGAGAAACUUCCAAGGAGUUGGGUUGCUGGAAGAGGUCCAGAGGUUCACUCAGAGACGACCUUAAAGGGGAGAUGAGCUCAAUCUAAACUUGACGUAGGUUUUUACUUUUAGGAGCAGAACUUUUUUUUGAAGGCUUUCUAACCCGUUUGGAGCUCGUGUUCAGGAUCCAGCACUGAGGAAACAGGACGUGGUGCUGUCCUGUUCGGCUGUAGUGUUAUCAGUCUAGUGUUUGAGAAGUGGGCACACAGAGGUCGCUCUGACUACCCGAGCUCCCCGGCUGGUUACCAGGAGCUCAUCCGUGUCCAGCAUUUCCAGUUCUGCCAGAUUUCUGGUCAUGAAAACAACUCAACAACACAAAGUUAUGCGUCACAGGAACCGUUUGGAAAUAAUAACAUAACGCCUUCUGUGUCCAAUAGAUUGUCAUUUGUUAAGAUCCUUCAGUAGACCAAAAGGAAGUCUUCUCCAAUAUUAAUGGUUUAAUUUGGCAAAAUCACUGAUAAUUAAGUCCUGCACCUUGAGUGCCGUACCGUUUCUUUCUUUUAGACACAGAAAAUAAGCGAAAUGAGGAAAUCUUUAGUCUGUAGUGUUGGAUGGAAGUGUAACGAUAAAAACAAGCUUCCAGAACUGAAUCUGAACACUGUAGAAAAUAAAUAAGGUGUAAUGGGAGGCACUGGGGUACGUUCAACGUCUCUGAAAGCUUCCCGAUUGUCAGCUCAGCCAGAUCCACGAUGGCCGCCCUG